AGAACAAUAUUUAAUAUAUAAAACUUGAAUUGCAAACAAGAAUACAAAAAUAAGCACUUAAAGCAUUCAGUUUCGACCUA
rnacentral:tRNA from 1 species